rnacentral:rRNA from 1 species
GUAAAGCGUGCGCAGGCGGUUUGUAAGACUGUCGUGAAAUCCCCGGGCUCAACCUGGGAAUGGCGAUGGUGACUGCAAGGCUAGAGUUUGGCAGAGGGGGUAGAAUUCCACGUGUAGCAGUGAAAUGCGUAGAUAUGUGGAGGAACACCGAUGGCGAAGGCAGCCCCCUGGGUCAAAACUGACGCUCAUGCACGAAAGCGUGGGGAGCAAACAGGAUUAGAUACCCGUGU